rnacentral:ncRNA from 2 species
GAUUUAUAAAGAAGAGGCGAGAGAAUAGGCUCUAAGACCCUCUGGCAACCAUUCGGCGAAUUACCGAAAAGGUGCCAAAUCCUACCCGAAUUGGGAACUAUAAAUU